UAACCUACGGGAGGCAGCAGUAGGGAAUCUUCCACAAUGGACGAAAGUCUGAUGGAGCAACGCCGCGUGAGUGAAGAAGGGUUUCGGCUCGUAAAACUCUGUUGGUAGUGAAGAAAGAUAGAGGUAGUAACUGGCCUUUAUUUGACGGUAAUUACUUAGAAAGUCACGGCUAACUACGUUCCAGCAGCCGCGGUAAUACGUAGGUGGCAAGCGUUGUCCGGAUUUUUUGGGCGUAAAUCGAGUGCAGGCGG
rnacentral:rRNA from 1 species